ACUCCUUGGUCGUCCUCACUCCUCGGUCGUCCUCACUCCUCUCCCGUCACACCUCACCAGCAUGCGUCACUUCGUGGUCUUGGCCGCUCUGGUGUUGGCUGUCUGCUUCCUGGCUCCGUCACACGCCCACCGUCGCUAUGGUGGUGGUAAACGCCCAGGACAUGGAGGUGGUGGUGGUCAUGGUGGUAAACUACAUGGUGGAUUUGGAGGCGGCGCCGGUGGCUUAGGAGGUGGAUUUUCAGGCGGCGCUGGUGAGUUUGGGGGCAGCGGUGGCUUUGGAGGUCAAGGAGGAUUUGGAGGUGGUUUUGGCGGCAAAGGCUCAGGUGGCUUUGGAGGUGGCGCCGGUGGCUUUGGAGGUGGUGCCGGUGGCUUUGGCGGUGGCCAUAAGGGCGGUGGAGGUUACUCAGGGUAAACCGCAGCAUUCAACUCGUCAACCUUCCACCAGUCAACGAUCAGUGGAACACAAGUCAUAAUUAACCAUUCAACAGUUCCACCCAAAAUCCUCUUGAGUCUUUUUUCUAUAUUUUAUGUGUAUCGUGUCUUCAAACUGUUUAAUCUGUAAAAAAAUUUGUAUCGUGUUCAUUAUGUAAAAAGUCAAAUACAUUUAUAUUUCUUUC